GAGGCUUUGUAAUGUGAUACACACCCCUCCGCUGGGCACCACAAAACUAAGACCCAACCACUCCUAUCACCUGCCAUACCUCCUUGUAAGCCACUUGUCCCCUCGGUCUGCAUGUAUUCACCGCUAUGACGCUGCUGCUGUAAAAUUUCACAUAAAUGGAAUCAUAUGUUCCAGGUGACGCCAGUUCCCGUUCCAGUUCUGACACCUUCUUCCGGCCUCCU